rnacentral:lncRNA from 1 species
UUGCUUGAUGAGAGGAAGUAUGUCUUCAUGCUUUUUGGCUUGCAUGAAUCAGUUGCAUAAGAAAAACUGUCACGCAAUUAUCUUGUUUUGUCAUGUAAACAGGUACAUAAUAAUAAAUUCUCCGGAGACAGACACAUGAAAAAUAAGAGGCAUAUUUAGAGACGAUAAGUUCUGUCUACACUGUCAUAGAUGUAGAUGGAGAAUACUUUCUUGAUGUCAUCCAAGGUGGUAAAAAAAAAAAAAAAAAAAAAAAAAAAAGGACAUAU